rnacentral:tRNA from 1 species
GGAUGGCUUAGUGGUGAAGAGCACUGGAUGCUCCUUCAGAGAACCUGGGUAAAAUUCCCAGCAUCCA